rnacentral:lncRNA from 1 species
ACCCACAGAGCCUUUCUUACUUUGCAGGUUCAGACAGUUCAAACAAAUUUGUUAGGAGGUUCCUCUUCUCCACUGUAAAUGUAAGGCACUCUGCCAGACACUUCUAAGGAUUGCAAAGUCAUGGGGGGAACUCUUGGCCAACAUUCAAGAUCCCCAUGCAACCUUCUGAAUUGAGUUGAAAUUUUUUGUUAAAUUUCAGCAGCUAUGCAAAAUAUGUUCAAAAAUUCAGGAGGUUUCUCAUGUGCAAUAUUUGCUGUAAUAUUAAUGUUAUUAUUUCAGAAUUUCAGAACAACAUGCUUUCAUUCAUGUGCUGAAGUGUUUUUCUGCCCAUACAAUCUUCCUCUCAAUGGUACAAGAUAAUUCCGAUGUCCUCAGAAUUUCUUAAUUUGCAUUUCUAGUUGCCAUAAUUGGGUUAUUAUUUUUUAUUAUUGUUACACUGGAAUCAGAGGAAAAUCUUCUGCCGUGGUAGCCAAAUACAAAACUGGGGUACUUUAUUUUACUUUCCAGAACUGUAAGUUCUACCCUCUUUGGCUCUUUGGUGCUCAUUUCUGUCCUUUUUUUAAUUUUAAAAAAGUUUAUUUUUAUGCAAUUUUGAAGGGUAAUCCUCCAUUUACAGUUUUAAUUUUUUUUUUUUCUCUUUAGGGCUGCACCUGUGGCAUAUGGAAGUUCCCAGGCUAGGGGCCCAAUCGGAGCUUCUGCUGCUGGCCUAUGCCAUAGCCACAACAAUGUGAGAUAAGAGCCGCAUCUGCGACCUGUACCACAGCUCACGGUAAUGCCGGAUCCUUAAUCCACUGAGCGAGGCCAGGGAUCAAACCCACCAUCCUCAUGGAUACUAGCUGGGUUCUUAACCCACUCCCUUCAGUUGUUGAUUAUCUUGGCUUAAGUUGUAAGAUCAGUCCAAUAUUGCUACAGGGCUAAAUUCUAUGCUUAAAUAUUCUACAGAGCACAUUGAGGAUAGUAAUUAAAUCUACCCCAUCAUCGAUACUUAUAAAUCCCUAGGAAGAAAAGAACUCAGUGCAUAAUAAGUACCUAAUACAUGUAAUUAUUAUUGGUAUAGAAGCCCUUUCACUUUUUGGUUAUGGCAUUAUGCCAUUUGUGGGCAUUUUCCUUGUUAUAAAAUGAAGGCACUAUCAAAAGGCAUCUUGGUUUUGUUCACUGAUGUAUAUCCCAAAUAUAUUUCAAAGAACCAGGCAGAGUGUAGGUGCUCAACAGUUUGUUAAAUGAAAGAGUAUUUGUCUGAGUUCAGUCAGGCUGCUAGUCUACCACCCAGUGCUUGACAUCGACCUAACCCCCACUAAGUUUGCUGAUAGGAUGGUAUAAUCAGACAUGAUCCAGGAAUAUGCUGUAAACUCUCUUCCGUGUUCUGAGGAGCCAUGAGGGCACAGGGUGACCAUUUGCUUGACUAAAGUCAUGGUCAGGAGAGUUCCCAGACCUUUGCUUUUUGUACAGAAAGAGCAUGAACACUCUACAGCUGAUAGGAAUUUUAGUGAAGCUUUCCACGUUGGUAUCUGUUGGUUACACCUUAUGCUCUGCUUCUGCAAACUUUGAGUUAUAGAAAUUGUUUAGGAGGGAAAAUUAUAAACAGAAGGGAAUACAUAUUUUAAUUCAUUAAAAAAUUUUAUCAUUUUUAUAACAGAUGGGAAAAACAAGAGAUAAUGACAAAAUAUUAAAGAAUUAAACAUAUCUGGAAUCUAUUCCAAAGCAAUCUGGGAGACUUUGUCUUUCUAAUGAUGGCAAAUGGACAGAAAUUCAAGAAGUUGGUAUUUAUUCUGCGGGGGCGAUGGAAGUGAGUAUAUGAUGUGAUGCGAGUGGUAAUGUCCAGUGGCAGUCCCUAAUGCAGGGUGGAGUGAGGCAGUAAGAAAGACACAAAAGGUGUUACCUGAAAUGUUAAGUGCAGGAACUUUCCUUAGAAAGAUAAAGACAAAUGUUCCCAAUAUUGGUGAAUAGAUCAUUAAGUCUGAAUGUGAGCAAGGUGAGUCAAAGACAGUAAAAUUUUAACUUGGAGUAACUGGAGGAAUGAUGUGAAAAACUGUGGGAGAUCUUUAAGAGCAGGAGGAACACAGAGGAGAAGUCUUGGAGAAAACGAUAACUUUGGAGCAAAUUUGAGGAAUGAACAACAUAGCCCAAGUUGAAAUGUUCCAACAUCGGAACCCUGGAGUUGGACCUCCUCAGGAGAGGAGGUGUUUGUGUCUAUGAAUGAACCUAGUGAUGUUUGAAGCUGAAGUUAUAGAUGAGAUCUUGGGAAAAGAACCUAAAGAGAAUACUGAGUUUCUGGGAACACCCACAUUUAGGAAGAGGAAAAAAGGAGGCAGCAAAAGAAUCUGGGACAAGGUGAUUAGAAACAUGUGGAAAAGCAGAAGCUGGCUUUCAAGAAGAGGUGUUGAGGAUUUGAGUUGCUACAAACCAGUGAAGCAUGAAGGCAAGGUAAUUAAUUGCCUUUCCAGCUUGUGGUCAGGAGAUCAUGGCUAACAUUGUGAACACAGCCUCAGUGGAGUGAGGGAGGAAGACACAUUUUUAGGGCCCCAACAUAGCGUUUGUUCAUUUCUGAACAUUUUGAAGAUGAGAGAAAAUGGAUUACAGAGAGAGGAAACAAAAUGUCAUGUAUCAAGUAAUUAAUUUAAAUUUAUCUUCAGAGAUGGAAGGGGCUAGUUAUUGAGAUUGUUACCUAAAAACUGCCUGGUAGACAAAUAGGGCCUCCAGGCCACAACAUGCCAACAGAUAUUUUUGUGUUGUUUGGGUAAUAAUGUGUUUUAAAAAUUGAAUUAGGUGUGAAUGUUUAGAAAUGUAAAGUUUCUUUUUUUUUCAUAAAAAUCCCUGAUUUCUAUCUUCUCUUGAAAAUAUUGGAAAUUCGGCAACACUGGGUGUGCAUUUCUGCGUGUCAUCCGUUAGCUGGAGUUGAAUAGCAGCUUUCCCAGUGGAAGGGCAUACAUUCUUCACUUAGCCAUGGUCCCCACCGUGUGAGUCUCCCCAUGAGAGUACUUGCUAACAUCUACUUGUAGAUGUUUCAGUUGGCAAUUCCUAAUUAAGUUCAACUUCCUCAUUCCAUGGAAGAGAAGAAUAAAGUCUGAAAUGGAGCAUGACUUGUCCUAAAGUCACAUAUCUGGCAGUGGGAGAGUCUGUUUUAGAGCCUGUAUCUCCUGAUUCUUAUUUCUGUAAGGUUCCUGCUCUGUUAACUCACUACGUUUUUCUCUGACGAGGCAGUCACUUGAGGACUGGCCUGUGGCAGUUUCCACCCCACCUCCCAGAUUUUAGAAUUGCCAAAUGGUACAUGAUUUAUUUGGCUCUGCCCCAACCAGGUUCUCAGUGUUUUUCCUGCAGUCCAGAUGGUGACCAAAGUUCUUCCUCCUCAGACAAGAAGGGAACUCUCUUGGUCACCAAGUUCAAGCUCACUCUUUUCAGAACUUUGGCCUAACUAGAGGCAUAUAAAUUCCCCGUAAUGUUUCUUUUAUGGAGAUUUUUGAGGCCUAAGUGGAAUGAUGUUAAACAAUGACUACCAUGCAUUGUUGCCUAAAGUAGAAAAUUAAAUUCAGCUCAUUGAAAUGAAUACCAGAUCACACCCUUCAAGUUUCCCCACCCCUGAUAUAUCAUAGAUCUUUCAAGAAAAUUUGAAUAUUGUGUUUGGAUUUUUUUUUUCUGCCUUAUAAAGAAAGUUAAUGAUCUUUCUUAUUUUCUUUCCCAACAUGAAAAUUCAUUAACCAUACAAAAGAAGUUGUUUGCCGUUAAAAUAAUACCUCAUUCUAAGUGAGAGCAUAAACAGGUUCUAACCCACUCACUUGGAAAGGAUUUUCUGAAAGCCUGGGAUACAGCUGCAUUAUUUUUUUCCUUUUCUCCAGCCUUUGCCCCUUCACCACGCAAUAUGAACAGACCUGGCUUAAAAAUAGAACAGCUAAUGAGGUUUGUCUAGUGGAUUUAAGGCAGCAGUGUUAACCCUUAAAGAUACAAUGGCCUAUGGAAAUUUGGAAAUACGACUGUUUCAAUGAAGUAUGACUCCUGAUAUGAAUAUUGUAUUUAAAAAAUGUUCCAAACCAUCUAGUUCUUUCCUGAACUCAUCCCUUUCAUGUAAUGCUUUGUCAAGUGCAGCCUAUGUUAACCAGUAUACGCUGGUGGUGUGAUUGUUUUCCAUCUUUUCCUCUAGAGCUUCCAACUUAGGAGACUGUGGUACAUCUAUCAAAUUAUUAUUGAUAACAGUUUUACAACUUUUUCCCAACUGUACAACUUAGAUGACCAUAUUUCCAGCCCAUGGUGUCAGUUUCUUUGCUGCCUGAUGCCCUGCUACAUCUUUAAAGUUUUGUGAUGGUAUUCCCUAUCGCCAAUACCACUUUCUAACUCAGGUUGGGCUAAAUUGUGGGCAGUAGUAAACAGGUUCUUGAAUCUCAGAGCUUAGUGCCUAAGUAAGUGUAGGUUUGUUUCUUUCUCAAGUCACCGUCCAGUGCAAUUGGGGUUGCUCUCUUUCGUCUUAUCUUCAACACAUUGUCCAUGGUUGCCUUUAUGAAUGGUCAUGCAUCAGAGUUUAUGAUACAGGCACGAAAGUAGUAUAUUUCUUCCCUUUACAUGGCAGUGGUCAAAACCCAGUCACUUGAAGCCAGUUCAACUAUAGGGGCACUGGAGUUUUAUCCUUUUUUUUUUUAGAAAAAGAAAACAGAAUUGGUGAAUAUCUACCCAAUCUUGCCAUAAAAUGGAUCUAAAUAUAUCAUUCCUUUAAACUAUGAAUAACUUUUUUUUUUUAAACAAAUACCUUCUGACAGUCUGACAUAAACUUUGGAGCUCUAUAGUUUAACUUUAUGAUUUGACCAAGUACAUUAAAUCACCUAAGGAAAAACUUGUGUUCAAAUGAAACAUCAUCUGUUUCUGCUAGGCAUCAUCAAAAGAGGAAGACAGAGGUUUUUAAGUUGUGUAUAUAUAACUUGUUGGAAAUCUGAUGGUUUGUUCCAUCAAAAAGGAAUCAGUGUGUAUGAAUGCGUCUUAGAAUAUCAAUGUGAUUACUAACAAGUUAUAAUCUUUAUCUCAGCCAUACAUCUAAUUUCCCUGUGGAUUUCUACACAAAAUGAGGACUUUCUUUGAGUCACUCAUGAAUAAAUAAUUCGGGUACAUCACUAGGUAAAUAUAUUCAAAUGAUGGCCUGCAAAAGUCAAGUGCAGUAUUGUCCUGUUCACCUCAGGGUUUUAUUGUUAUUGGAGAUAGUUUAUUAAAAUUAAAAAUUUACUUUUGAUAGGUUAAUGGCCUGGAUUAUUGACUUGGGGUGGUGUUGCAGUAUAAUAAUUACAGAAUGAUUGUCAAUGAAACAGAUAAGAAAAUGUGUGAUCUUGGCCUUGGGGAUCAGGAUCAACAUAGUGGAGUAAGAAGAUCCUAAGCUCACCUUCUUCCAAAUAUACACCAAAAUUACAACGACGGUUGGCUUUAAACAAUGCAGGUUUGAACUGCCUGGGUCCACUUAUAUAUAGCUAUUUUUCAAUGGUAAUAAAUAAUAUGAUAUCACAGUCUGCAGAUGCAGAGGAACCAUGGAUAUGGAGGACAAGCUAUGAGUUUUAUGUGAGUUAAUCCCUAUUUUGUUCAAAGGUCAACUGUACUAUGGAACAACUAUCUCUGAGAAUGAUCUGAAGACUAGAAGAAAAGAUUUUCCACAAGUAAAGAUAUAAAGAAGGAGCCACAGUGAGGUAUGUAGGAGGGGAGGGGAUGCAGUCUGGUCAAUACCUGCACCCUGGUGUUGCAAAUCACAAGCAAAAUGGAUCUCACAAUCAAGAGAUUAUCCCUAAAGAGUGAGGGUCAGAGCUCCACAUCAGGUUCCCCAGCCCCGGGGUCCUGUACUGGAAAGACGAGGACCCAAAACAUCUGGUAUUGAAAACCAGUGAGCCUUACAUCCAAGAGAGCUAGAGGAGUGUAAGAAACCUAGUCUGUGCUCUUAAAGGGCCCACACAAGACCUCACUUGCCCCAAGUCCCAGGUGCAGACUCAGCAGUUUGUAAGAUGCCUGGCUCAGACCCACUUGCUGAUCUUAAAGAGUCUCCCAGAGAGGCAGGAGGCAGUUGGGACUCCUCCUGGGACUGAGAUGCUGGAAGCCAUUUUUGUGAUCUCAUUCUGUUGUGCUAACACUCCUGACAGGUGCCAAUUUGGAAUCUCACUUCUAGCCUUUUAGCACCAGGACAUGCCCCACCCACCAGGAUGAUUGCAGGGCCUUAGUGUCAGCUGGGUUGGGGUUCAGACUAGCCUCCAGCAUCUCCAUAAUAGUUGGCCCCACCACAACACAAGUGUGCAUGCAGUCCACAUUGGGGAAACCACCAGAGCACCCCAGAGCACCUAGCUCUGGUGGCCUGAGGGGAGUGUGCUCCCGGGUCCCAUAGAACAACUCUUAUAUAAGUCCCCUUCUCUAAGAUUGGGAGAUGUAACAGACAUACCUAAUACAGAUAAAUAAACACAAAGUAGGCAAAAUGAGGAGACAGGGAACUAUGUUUCAAAUGAGGAAGGAAGACACAACCUCAGAAAAAGAACUAAACAAAACAGAGAUAAGCAGUCUACCUGAUAAAGGGUUUGAGGUAAUGAUUCUAUAGCUGCUCACCAAAGUUGGGAGAAAAGUGGAUGAAUAUAGUAAUAGCUUCCACAAAGAGUUAGAAACUAUGAAAAAGAGCUAACCAGAGCUGAAGAAAACAAUAACUGAAAUGAAAAAUAGACUAGAGGCUAUCCGUGGCAGAUUAGGUCAUAUAGAAGAAUGAAUCAGUGAUCUGGAAGAAAGGAUAGUGGAAAUUAUUUGAGGUGAAUAGGGAAAAGGAAAAAAGAAUUAAAAAAAAUAAAGAUAGUUUAGGGACUCUGAGACAACAUCAACUGUACUAACAUUCCCAUUAUAUGAAUCCCUGAAGUAGAAGACAGAGAAAAGGGCAGAGAAAUUAUUUGAAAAAGUAAUGGCUGAAAAAUCCCCUAACUUGGGGACUGAAAUAAGCAUUCAUGUCCAGAAAACACAGAGAGAGUCCCAAACAAUAUAAACUCAGGAAGUUCACACCAGAACAUAUUAUAAUUAAGAUGUCAAACAUUAAAGAGAGUCUUAAAAGCAGCAAGAGAAAAGUGACUAGUAUGUACAGAAGAACUCCCAUAAGACUGUCAUCUGACUUUUCAGCAGAAACUUUGCAGGCCAGAA